AUUGAACGCUGGCGGCAGGCCUAACACAUGCAAGUCGAGCGGAUGAAGGGAGCUUGCUCCUGGAUUCAGCGGCGGACGGGUGAGUAAUGCCUAGGAAUCUGCCUGGUAGUGGGGGAUAACGUCCGGAAACGGGCGCUAAUACCACAUACGUCCUGAGGGAGAAAGUGGGGGAUCUUCGGACCUCACGCUAUCAGAUGAGCCUAGGUCCGAUUAGCUAGUUGGUGGGGUAAAGGCCUACCAAGGCGACGAUCCGUAACUGGUCUGAGAGGAUGAUCAGUCACACUGGAACUGAGACACGGUCCAGACUCCUACGGGAGGCAGCAGUGGGGAAUAUUGGACAAUGGGCGAAAGCCUGAUCCAGCCAUGCCGCGUGUGUGAAGAAGGUCUUCGGAUUGUAAAGCACUUUAAGUUGGGAGGAAGGGCAGUAAGUUAAUACCUUGCUGUUUUGACGUUACCAACAGAAUAAGCACCGGCUAACUUCGUG
rnacentral:rRNA from 1 species